AGAGUUUGAUCAUGGCUCAGAUUGAACGCUGGCGGCAUGCCUUACACAUGCAAGUCGAACGGCAGCACGGGGGCAACCCUGGUGGCGAGUGGCGAACGGGUGAGUAACACAUCGGAACGUGUCCAGUUGUGGGGGAUAACCAGUCGAAAGACUGGCUAAUACCGCAUGAUCUGGCGACAGCAAAGCGGGGGACCGCAAGGCCUCGCGCGAUUGGAGCGGCCGAUGUCCGAUUAGCUAGUUGGUGGGGUAAAGGCUCACCAAGGCUACGAUCGGUAGCUGGUCUGAGAGGAUGAUCAGCCACACUGGGACUGAGACACGGCCCAGACUCCUACGGGAGGCAGCAGUGGGGAAUUUUGGACAAUGGGGGCAACCCUGAUCCAGCCAUGCCGCGUGAGUGAAGAAGGCCUUCGGGUUGUAAAGCUCUUUCGGUGGGAACGGAACGGUUACAGCUAAUACCUGUGACUAAUGACGGUACUCACAGAAGAAGCACCGGCUAACUACGUGCCAGCAGCCGCGGUAAUACGUAGGGUGCGAGCGUUAAUCGGAAUUACUGGGCGUAAAGCGUGCGCAGGCGGUUACUUAAGUCAGGUGUGAAAGCCCUGGGCUUAACCUAGGAAUUGCGCUUGAGACUGGGUAGCUUUGAGUGUGGCAGAGGGAGGUGGAAUUCCACGUGUAGCAGUGAAAUGCGUAGAGAUGUGGAGGAACACCGAUGGCGAAGGCAGCCUCCUGGGCCAGCACUGACGCUCAUGCACGAAAGCGUGGGGAGCAAACAGGAUUAGAUACCCUAGUAGUCC
rnacentral:rRNA from 1 species